GACGAACGCUGGCGGCGUGCUUAACACAUGCAAGUCGAACGGAAAGGCUCCAGCUUGCUGGCGUACUCGAGUGGCGAACGGGUGAGUAACCCGUGGGUAAUCUGCCCUGCACUCUGGGAUAAGCCUGGGAAACUGGGUCUAAUACUGGAUAUGACCUUUCUCCUUAUGGGGUUUGGUGGAAAGUUUUUCGGUGUAGGAUGAGCCCGCGGCCUAUCAGCUUGUUGGUGGGGUGAUGGCCUACCAAGGCGACGACGGGUAGCCGGCCUGAGAGGGUGAGCGGCCACAUUGGGACUGAGAUACGGCCCAGACUCCUACGGGAGGCAGCAGUGGGGAAUAUUGCACAAUGGGCGGAAGCCUGAUGCAGCGACGCCGCGUGAGGGAUGACGGCCUUCGGGUUGUAAACCUCUUUCAGCAGGGACGAAGCGUAAGUGACGGUACCUGCAGAAGAAGCACCGGCUAACUAUGUG
rnacentral:rRNA from 1 species